rnacentral:rRNA from 1 species
GACGAACGCUGGCGGCGUGCUUAACACAUGCAAGUCGAACGGAAAGGCCCUGCUUUUGUGGGGUGCUCGAGUGGCGAACGGGUGAGCAACACGUGAGUAACCUGUCCUUGACUUUGGGAUAACUUCAGGAAACUGGGGCUAAUACCGGAUAGGAGCUCCUGCCGCAUGGUGGGGGCUGGAAAGUUUCGGCGGUUGGGGAUGGACUCGCGGCUUAUCAGCUUGUUGGUGGGGUAGUGGCUUACCAAGGCUUUGACGGGUAGCCGGCCUGGGAGGGGGACCGGCCACAUUGGGACGGAGAUGCGACACAGACUACUACGGGAGGCGACAGUGGGGAGGAUUGCACAGUAGGCGGGAGCCUGAUGCAGCAACGCCGCGUGGGGGAAGUCGGCCUUCGGGUUGUAGUGCACUUUCGCCUGUGACGAAGCGUGAAUGACGGUAAUGGGUGAAGAAGCACCGGCUAACUACGUG